GCAUAUCAAUAAGCGGAGGAAAAGAAACCAACAGGGGAUUGCCCCCAGUAACGGCGAGUGAAGCGGCAACAGCUCAAAUUUGAAAUCUGGCUCUCGGGCCCGAGUUGUAAUUUGUAGAGGAUGCUUUUGGUGAGGUGCCUUCCGAGUUCCCUGGAACGGGACGCCAUAGAGGGUGAGAGCCCCGUCUGGUUGGACACCGAUCCUCUGUAAAGCUCCUUCGACGAGUCGAGUAGUUUGGGAAUGCUGCUCUAAAUGGGAGGUAUAUGUCUUCUAAAGCUAAAUACCGGCCAGAGACCGAUAGCGCACAAGUAGAGUGAUCGAAAGAUGAAAAGAACUUUGAAAAGAGAGUUAAAAAGUACGUGAAAUUGUUGAAAGGGAAGCGCUUGUGACCAGACUUGGGCUUGGUUGAUCAUCCGGGGUUCUCCCCGGUGCACUCUUCCGGCUCAGGCCAGCAUCAGUUCGCCCUGGGGGAUAAAGGCUUCGGGAAUGUGGCUCUCUCCGGGGAGUGUUAUAGCCCGCUGCGUAAUACCCUGUGGCGGACUGAGGUUCGCGCAUUCGCAAGGAUGCUGGCGUAAUGGUCAUCAGUGACCCGUCUUGAAACACGGACCAAGGAGUCGUCUUCGUAUGCGAGUGUUCGGGUGUCAAACCCCUACGCGAAAUGAAAGUGAACGCAGGUGAGAGCUUCGGCGCAUCAUCGACCGAUCCUGAUGUUAUCGGAUGGAUUUGAGUAAGAGCAUACGGGGCCGGACCCGAAAGAAGGUGAACUAUGCCUGUGUAGGGUGAAGCCAGAGGAAACUCUGGUGGAGGCUCGCAGCGGUUCUGACGUGCAAAUCGAUCGUCAAACAUGGGCAUGGGGGCGAAAGACUAAUCGAACCUUCUAGUAGCUGGUUUCCGCCGAAG
rnacentral:rRNA from 1 species